AGUGAACGCUGGCGGUAGGCCUAACACAUGCCAGUCGAACGGCAGCACAGUAAGAGCUUGCUCUUACGGGUGGCGAGUGGCGGACGGGUGAGGAAUACAUCGGAAUCUACUUUUUCGUGGGGGAUAACGUAGGGAAACUUACGCUAAUACCGCACACGACCUACGGGUGAAAGCAGGGGAUCUUCGGACCUUGCGCGAUUGAAUGAGCCGAUGUCGGAUUAGCUAGUUGGCGGGGUAAGGGCCCACCAAGGCGACGAUCCGUAGCUGGUCUGAGAGGAUGAUCAGCCACACUGGAACUGAGACACGGUCCAGACUCCUACGGGAGGCAGCAGUGGGGAAUAUUGGACAAUGGGCGCAAGCCUGAUCCAGCCAUACCGCGUGGGUGAAGAAGGCCUUCGGGUUGUAAAGCCCUUUUGUUGGGAAAGAAAAGCAGCAGGUUAAUACCCCGCUGUUCUGACGGUACCCAAAGAAUAAGCACCGGCUAACUUCGUG
rnacentral:rRNA from 1 species